UACGUAGGGGGCAAGCGUUGUCCGGAAUCAUUGGGCGUAAAGCGCGUGUAGGCGGCUGGGUAAGUCCGCUCUGAAAGCCCGGGGCUCAACCCCGGGAGGCGGGUGGAUACUGCUCAGCUCGAGUCCGGAAGAGGAGUGUGGAAUUCCUGGUGUAGCGGUGAAAUGCGCAGAUAUCAGGAGGAACACCAAUGGCGAAGGCAGCUCGCUGGUACGUAACUGACGCUGAGACGCGAAAGCGUGGGGAGCAAACAGG
rnacentral:rRNA from 1 species